rnacentral:rRNA from 1 species
AAAGUCGUAACAAGGUCUCCGUUGGUGAACCAGCGGAGGGAUCAUUACCGAGUUUACAACUCCCAAACCCCUGUGAACAUACCUUAAUGUUGCCUCGGCGGAUCAGCCCGCGCCCCGUAAAACGGGACGGCCCGCCAGAGGACCCAAACUCUAAUGUUUCUUAUUGUAACUUCUGAGUAAAACAAACAAAUAAAUCAAAACUUUCAACAACGGAUCUCUUGGUUCUGGCAUCGAUGAAGAACGCAGCAAAAUGCGAUAAGUAAUGUGAAUUGCAGAAUUCAGUGAAUCAUCGAAUCUUUGAACGCACAUUGCGCCCGCUGGUAUUCCGGCGGGCAUGCCUGUUCGAGCGUCAUUUCAACCCUCAAGCCCCCGGGUUUGGUGUUGGGGAUCGGCUCUGCCUUCUGGCGGUGCCGCCCCCGAAAUACAUUGGCGGUCUCGCUGCAGCCUCCAUUGCGUAGUAGCUAACACCUCGCAACUGGAACGCGGCGCGGCCAUGCCGUAAAACCCCAACUUCUGAAUGUUGACCUCGGAUCAGGUAGGAAUACCCGCUGAACUUAAGCAUAUCAAUAAG